UUUACAUCUUUGUCAUGGCUAUUACAUUAUUGUUCAAUUUUCUUUCAAACUACCCAAGUUCUCAUGUUCCUUAUCCUUGGCAACGAGUUCUUGAUAUCCCGUCGAAUCUUCUUUACUACUAUCACCUUGAGACUGGAUUGGUGAUUUACGAUUUUAGGCCUUUUGUGAAUUUUGGAGAAGGUGUUUUCAUGGAGAAUGAUAUUGGGUUUAAUUUCACAGACCAAGAAGUUUGUCAGCAAUUAAACAACGACUAUGAAAAUUUUCUGAACGCUCCAAGUCUUCUUCUUUUCUGUUGUGCAUGCAGUGGUAAAACUUACUAUGGCGUUGUAGAACAACCAAUAGUUCGAUGCCCAUUGUGCAAGUGUAUAACUAUGAUGUCACCAUGAUUUUGUUGUGGACUAAAAUGUUCGGAGAAUGAGUUGAUGGAAAGCAAAGAAGUUCUGGAUGGGCUGAAGGUCUAAGGAAGAAAAUUAAAUGGAUUGAAGACUGUAUGUGACUGAAAGUAUUACUUUUAUUUAAUGUAUUAGAGUAUAAGAUGAUGACAUUUGUAUGUUGUCAUUAAUUUAGAUUGUUGUUUAAUG